ACACGUAGGGGGCAAGCGUUGUCCGGAAUUACUGGGCGUAAAGGGUGCGUAGGUGGCCAAAUAAGUCAGAUGUGAAAGUCCAGGGCUUAACCGUGGAAUCGCAUUUGAAACUGUAUGGCUUGAGUGCAGGAGAGGAGAGCGGAAUUCCUAGUGUAGUGGUGAAAUGCGUAGAUAUUAGGAAGAACACCAGUGGCGAAGGCGGCUCUCUGGACUGUAACUGACGCUGAGGCACGAAAGCGUGGGGAGCGAACAGGAUUAGAGACCCUGGUAGUCCACGCCGUAAACGAUGAGUGCUAGGUGUCGGGAGUCAAAUCUCGGUGCCGGAGUAAACACAAUAAGCACUCCGCCUGGGGAGUACGACCGCAAGGUUGAA
rnacentral:rRNA from 1 species